rnacentral:rRNA from 1 species
AUUGAACGCUGGCGGCAGGCUUAACACAUGCAAGUCGAGCGGGGUUUUCGGACCUAGCGGCGGACGGGUGAGUAAUGCGUAGGAAGCUACCCGAUAGAGGGGGAUACCAGUUGGAAACGACUGUUAAUACCGCAUAAUGUCUACGGACCAAAGUGUGGGACCUUCGGGCCACAUGCUAUCUGAUGCGCCUACGUGGGAUUAGCUAGUUGGUGGGGUAAUGGCUCACCAAGGCGACGAUCCCUAGCUGGUUUGAGAGGAUGAUCAGCCACACUGGAACUGAGACACGGUCCAGACUCCUACGGGAGGCAGCAGUGGGGAAUAUUGGACAAUGGGCGCAAGCCUGAUCCAGCCAUGCCGCGUGUGUGAAGAAGGCCUUCGGGUUGUAAAGCACUUUCAGUAGGGAGGAAGGGUGUUGUGUUAAUAGCACAGCAUUUUGACGUUACCUACAGAAGAAGCACCGGCUAACUCUGUGCCAGCCGCCGCCGUAAAAC